GUGGGGAAUUGUUCGCAAUGGGCGCAAGCCUGACGACGCAACGCCGCGUGGAGGACGAAGAUCUUCGGAUCGUAAACUCCUGUCGAGCGGGACGAACGGCCCGGGACUUAACACGUCUCGGGAGUGACGGUACCGCUAAAGGAAGCCCCGGCUAACUCCGUGCCAGCAGCCGCGGUAAUACGGGGGGGGCCAGCGUUGUUCGGAAUUACUGGGCGUAAAGGGCGCGUAGGCGGCCUUCUAAGUCAGACGUGAAAUCCCUCGGCUCAACCGGGGAACUGCGUCUGAUACUGGAAGGCUUGAAUCCGGGAGAGGGAUGCGGAAUUCCAGGUGUAGCGGUGAAAUGCGUAGAUAUCUGGAGGAACACCGGUGGCGAAGGCGGCAUCCUGGACCGGUAUUGACGCUGAGGCGCGAAAGCCAGGGGAGCAAACGGGAUUAGAAACCCCAGUAGUCC
rnacentral:rRNA from 1 species